AGAAUCAACGCUGGCGGCGUGCCUAACACAUGCAAGUCGAACGCGAAAGGGGACUUCGGUUCCUGAGUAGAGUGGCGUCCGGGUGAGUAACACGUGGGUAAUCUGCCUUCGGGUGGGGAAUAACUCAGGGAAACUUGAGCUAAUACCGCAUAAUGCAGCGGCACCUAAUGGUGAUUAGUUGUUAAAGCGGGGGAUCGCAAGACCUCGCGCCUGAAGAGGAGCCUGCGGCAGAUUAGCUAGUUGGUAAGGUAAUGGCUUACCAAGGCUUCGAUCUGUA
rnacentral:rRNA from 1 species